CCCUUUGCCCAUCCCUGGGCCGGUGGCCUGGGGGACUGUGCUCACCGGUCUCAAGGAGCGGGCUCUGAUCCGCUCACCCCCAGCCAUGUGGUUGCUCUGGGAACGGGCUUGUCAUCCCCCCACCCCCCAGCCGAAGGGCGGCCAUAGCCAUGGGUGGGGCUUCUCUUGGCUUCUGCAGGACCCGGAUGUGAGACCCUCUCUCCUGCGCCUGGGGUGCCGUGUGAGGACGCUGGCCCGCCGGGACCCUCGGGACGAAGCCUGGAGCUCCGGCAGGCACAGUGGGCAGAUGGACAGAAGCCGGCUUCCGGGCGGCAUGUCCUGAGUUACCAAAUCAAGCCUCUCCUGAGGUCCCCCCGCCCCCCACUUCAGACCUUUCGGCUGCAGGAGUCCACAGUUGCUGGUCCGGCUUAAAGCCCUUUGAUUUGGACUUUCCGUUACUCGCAGAGCAAGGAGUCAGACGUGACGCGCGUUUCCGUUCCUACAGCUUCCGCUUCUCUGAUCUCCCGCAGCGGCCUUGACCCCCAUGGCCUGGUGGAAACCUUGAGCCCAACCAAAUCUCCCGGUCCAGAGCUCUCCAGGGGAGACGCUGAGCAACGUUGACGUUAUCUCUGGCCCCAGCGUGGGGCUCCCACUCACGACCCCGAGAUCAAGAGUCGCAUGGUCCUCCAACUGAGCCCUCCAGGUGUCCCGAGGUUCUACUUCUUAAGACGAUGGUCAGGAUUAAAUGAGAGUGGAAACAAGCAAAGCCAGUCCGCUGAGCAUUGCUCGCCCACAACGAGGAACGGAUUCAGGAGGAGUCUCCAGAGCAUUCUGCGGAGAAAGGCCGGCCCCAAAGCCACGUGGCCUUCGACCCCAUGUGCAGACCCCUCCUGGGAUGCGCAGUGAGAACGGGCAGGCUGCACACCGUGUACUCACCACACAGAAGGGAUGUCUGCUGUAACAGCAAUUGUCACCAGAAAUAUGUGAAACGGGGUGUUGUAUACCUAAAAGGAAGAGAGAAUUCAAAAAAAAAAAAACACCACCAAACAUGAGUUCUCUGGGCACCUGGCUGGCUGUUCGUAUUUCCAAAAUUAACAACCUCUUCUUGGAUGACUGCAAACAAAAUUUUUACAAAAUACAAAACCCACAUACCUCUAGAUGCGUUCCAGGAAUUGGCUUUAUAAUCAUAAAUAUAGACUUUCUGAUUCACUACGAAGAGCAACACGGAGUCAGCGAUGUGUGCCGAUGUGACUUCCGGGGUGCCGGCCUGGAAAUACGGAAACAGGACACCGCCACGCAAACCAGACGGCAGGCUGAGGCCGAGCUGACCCCUGCGUGAAAGCAGACGUGAUGAUGUCCAACAUGGUCGCCACCAUCUACACUGAGUGCUUGACGUGUGGGUUUUUCCACUGUAUUUAAUUAAUUAACAUUUCUGUUUAAUUUGUUUUUAAGUGGGCGUAAAAUAAACGCAAUAUAAAAUCUGUA